UCCCAGACUCCUACGGGAGGCAGCAGUGGGGAAUAUUGCACAAUGGGGGGAACCCUGAUGCAGCGACGCCGCGUGGGUGAAGGAGCACCUCGGUGCGUAAAGCCCUAUCGGCAGGGAAGAAACAGACGGUACCUGACUAAGAAGCCCCGGCUAACUACGUGCCAGCAGCCGCGGUAAUACGUAGGGGGCAAGCGUUAUCCGGAUUCACUGGGGGUAAAGGGAGCGUAGACGGCGACGCAAGUCUGGAGUGAAAGCCCGGGGCCCAACCCCGGGACUGCUCUGGAAACUGCGGCGCUGGAGUACGGGAGGGGCAGGCGGAAUUCCUGGUGUAGCGGUGAGAUGCGUAGAUAUCAGGAGGAACACCGGCGGCGAAGGCGGCCUGCUGGACAGCAACUGACGGUGAGGCGCGAAAGCGUGGGGAGCAAACAGGAUUAGAUACCCUUGUAA
rnacentral:rRNA from 1 species